rnacentral:tRNA from 3 species
GCGCCCGUAGCUCAGCUGGAUAGAGUACCUGGCUUCGAACCAGGUGGUCGGGAGUUCGAAUCUCUCCGGGCGCG